rnacentral:rRNA from 1 species
AACGAACGCUGGCGGCAGGCCUAACACAUGCAAGUCGAACGACCUCUUCGGAGGGAGUGGCAGACGGGUGAGGAACACGUGGGAACCUACCUAGAGGUAAGGAAUAACUUCGGGAAACCGGAGCUAAUACCUUAUACGCCCUCAGGGGGAAAGAUUUAUCGCCUUUAGAUGGGCCCGCGUCUGAUUAGCUAGUUGGUGAGGUAAUGGCUCACCAAGGCGACGAUCAGUAGCUGGUUUGAGAGGAUGAUCAGCCACACUGGGACUGAGACACGGCCCAGACUCCUACGGGAGGCAGCAGUGGGGAAUAUUGGACAAUGGGCGCAAGCCUGAUCCAGCCAUGCCGCGUGAGUGACGAAGGCCUUAGGGUUGUAAAACUCUUUCGCUAGGGAAGAUAAUGACGGUACCUAGUAAAGAAGCCCCGGCUAACUCCG